GAUAUUUAACUACUGAUGAUGAAUGAAGGAUUAUUAAUGCAUGAUGAUUAAUAAUGAACUAAAUUAAUGAAUAUUUUCACUGCAGUUGAUUCAGCCAGUCUGUGCUAAAUAAUGCUUCAAAUGUUUGUCAAUAGUUUGGUUUGGACCCUGAACCAUUGGUACCUGGUGGCCCUUCUUCUGCCACUGGUGAUACUGGUCAUCAUCAUCUGUAUGCUCAGAAAGAAAUGUGAGUAGAGAAUCAAACCAGGACCAGAGAGAGGAGCAAUGACACCACUGUUCCCACAGCUGUGAGAUCCUACAACUUCACAGACAGUAUCUAUCUAUCUAUCGAUUGAUAGAUAGAUAGAUCGGAUAAGCGGUAGAAAAUGAAU